CCUACGGGUGGCUGCAGCAAGGAAUUUUCCGCAAUGGGGGAAACCCUGACGGAGCAACGCCGCGUGCGGGAUGACGCUUUUCGGAGUGUAAACCGCUUUUCUCAGGGAAGAUGAAGGACGGUACCUGAGGAAGAAGGCCCGGCUAACUACGUGCCAGCAGCCGCGGUAAUACGUAGGGGCCGAGCGUUGUCCGGAGUUAUUGGGCGUAAAGCGCGCGCAGGCGGCUUGUUGCGUCCGACGUGAAAGCCCCCGGCUUAGCCGGGGAGGGUCGUCGGGUACGGACAGGCGUGAGGGCGGGAGAGGGUGGUGGAAUUCCCGGUGUAGUGGUGAAAUGCGUAGAGAUCGGGAGGAACACCUGUGGCGAAGGCGGCCACCUGGGCCGACCCUGACGCUGAGGCGCGAAGGCGUGGGGAGCGAACGGGAUUAGAUACCCGAGUAGUC
rnacentral:rRNA from 1 species